rnacentral:lncRNA from 1 species
UGACUAUCCACAGGCAGGGCUAGAAAAGGGAGUGGAACAUUUUACUUAGGCAGGAAGCACUGAAGAGAAGAAUCUUUUUUUCAGUAGACAUUUGUGGGAAAUAAAAAUUUGUUUAGAAGAAUUUAGGCCAAGAGAUAAAAUGGUCUUCUUUUGACUGAGGAGAGAUAAGAUAGAUUUUAAGCAGACAUCUGAAGUUAAAGGUGAGAGAAGGAAGAUAAACUGGGUGAUUUUGCUCACCUAAGAAGGUACACAGAUCCAAAGAAAAAGAGAUUCGAGAGGUGUCUCCAGCUUCUGAUUUUGAUGACAUCUCCCAGAGAGGACCGUGUUGCCAUCACCAUCCCAGAGUCUGAAAGUGUCCAGGAAAUAUCAAUGAAAUCAUGGAAUUUUGAAGAAGAUACAACAAUUUUAUUUCUGCUACAACAGACGUUCUGCUAAUGGAACAGAAGUCAGCGAAGGACCUAU